rnacentral:rRNA from 1 species
GACGAACGCUGGCGGCGUGCUUCAUACAUGCAAGUCGAACGAGAAGCUGACUUCGGUCAGUGGAAAGUGGCGGACGGGUGCGUAAUAUGUAGGAAAUCUGCCUUUAGGAGGGGGACAACAGAGGGAAACUUCUGCUAAUACCCCAUAUGAGCGUAGCUGAAAUGCUAUUCUUGAAAACUCCGGUGCCUAAAGAUGAGCCUGCAUCUGAUUAGCUAGUUGGUAGUGUAAUGGACUACCAAGGCGACGAUCAGUAGCUGGUUUGAGAGGAUGAUCAGCCACAAUGGGAAUGAGACACGGCCCAUACUCCUACGGGAGGCAGCAGUAGGGAAUUUUGCGCAAUGGGCGAAAGCCGGACGCAGCAACGCCGCGUGAACGAUUAAGCCCUUCGGGGUGUAAAGUUCUGUCAGUGGGGACGAAACUUGACGGUACCAACAGAGGAAGCACCGGCUAACUCCGUG